rnacentral:rRNA from 1 species
AAGGAGAAGUCGUAACAAGGUUUCCGUAGGUGAACCUGCGGAGAGCAAUCCACUCUUCGGGACACCGUGCUUGCCCGGUGCUUCGGGCAAAUGCUCGUUCGUCUCUGUCGUCUGCUCAACAACCAACCCCGGCGCAGUACGCGCCAAGGAAUAGAAAGUGAAAAGGGCGUGCUUUUCUUUCGGAAUGCAUUGCCUUCUUUCAAGAAUCAAAAUGACUCUCGGCAACGGAUAUCUCGGCUCUCGCAUCGAUGAAGAACGCAGCAAAAUGCGAUACUUGGUGUGAAUUGCAGAAUCCCGUGAACCAUCGAGUCUUUGAACGCAAGUUGCGCCCGACGCCUUCGGGCUGAGGGCACGCCUGCCUGGGCGUCACGCAUCGCGUCGCCCCCUACACCAAUUUGGUGCGGGGGCGGAUAAUGGCAUCCCGUUAGCUCGGUUUGCCCAAAAAGGAUCCCUCAUCGACGGAUGUCACAACCAGUGGUGGUUGAAAGAUCAUUGGUGCCGUUGUGCUUCACUCCGUCGCAUGCUUGGGCAUCGUUACAAAACAAUGGUGCUAACGCGCCUUCGACCGCGGCCCCAGGUCAGACGGGACUACCCGCUGAG